UAACACGUAGGGGGCAAGCGUUGUUCGGAAUUAUUGGGCGUAAAGGGCAUGUAGGCGGUUUCGUAAGCCUGGUGUGAAAUCCUGCAGCUUAACUGUAGAAUUGCAUUGGGUACUGCGAGACUUGAAUCACAGAGGGGAAACUAGAAUUCCAGGUGUAGGGGUGGAAUCUGUAGAUAUCUGGAAGAAUACCGGUGGCGAAGGCGGGUUUCUAGCUGAUGAUUGACGCUGAGGUGCGAAAGUGCGGGGAGCAAACAGG
rnacentral:rRNA from 1 species